rnacentral:tRNA from 1 species
AGGGUAAUAGCUCGGUGGUGGAGUGCAUGCUUAGUUUGCAUGAGGUCCUGGGUUCAAUCCCCAGUGCCUCCA